UUGACAGUGGUAAGUACAUACAUUUAAAAAUGUACUGGAUUUUCUGUUUUCUCCUCUAAAGAUCAAAAGCAUCCUUAAAUUCCUUCCUUAAAAAUACUUUUUUUGGAGUUGCAAAUGAUAUUGAUGCUAUUGUUAUCACAUUCCGAGGCACUUAAGAAACCAGAUAUGGAAUUAAAGUUUGGUUUGGUCCCAAACUAAUUUCCAAAUCGAGUUUAGUUCAUGCUUAAAACCAGCUAGGAAUGAUGCUUGGAACGAUGAUUAUUGUUAUAACAUGUGAUUUGGGAUUGAACUGAUUAGAAAGCGAUGUUACUACACUGGAUUUAUUAUGUGCAUACCACAUGCUUGAUGAAAUGCCGUUGGGCAUCUAAGGUGAUUUUGGUACUUGUGAGUUGUAAUCCUCUAUUAAUCUACAUGUUGAUAGUUAACACG
rnacentral:lncRNA from 1 species